rnacentral:tRNA from 1 species
GGUUAAGAGCUUUAAGCAUUUUGGUUUCGGCCCAAAACCCGAAGAAAUACUCUUCCUUAUACCU